UACGGAGGAGGCAAGCGUUGUUCGGAAUUAUUGGGCGCAAAGCGCGUGUAGGCGGCUUUGCAAGUCGGGUGUGAAAGCCCUCAGCUCAACUGAGGAAGUGCGCCCGAAACUGCAGAGCUUGAGUGCCGGAGAGGGUGGCGGAAUUCCCCAAGUAGAGGUGAAAUUCGUAGAUAUGGGGAGGAACACCGGUGGCGAAGGCGGCCACCUGGACGGCAACUGACGCUGAGACGCGAAAGCGUGGGGAGCAAACAGG
rnacentral:rRNA from 1 species